UCCGAGUUGACCCCGGCAGUCUCCUGCGAGUCCCCGCCAUUACGCGCUGGCAACACAGGACAAGGGUUGCGCUCGUUGCGGGACUUAACCCAACAUGUCACCACACGAGCUGACGACAGCCAUGCAGCACCUGUCUCCCGGCAGUAUUGCUACUGAAACCGUAUUUCUACGGCGGUCCGGGGAUGUCAAACCCAGGUAAGGUUUUGCGCGUUGCUUCGAAUUAAACCACAUGAUCCACCGCUUGUGCGGGCCCCCGUCAAUUCCUUUGAGUUUUAGUCUUGCGACCGUACUUCCCAGGCGGGGUACUUAUUGCGUUAGCUCCGGCUCUGCAGGGGUCUAUUCCCACAAAGCCUAGUACCCAUCGUUUACAGCGUGGACUAC
rnacentral:misc_RNA from 1 species